rnacentral:rRNA from 1 species
GUUUCCCACGGGACACUCCCCGAGGUGCUGCAUGGUUGUCGUCAGCUCGUGCCGUGAGGUGUCGGCUUAAGUGCCAUAACGAGCGCAACCCCCGCGUGCAGUUGCUAACAGAUAACGCUGAGGACUCUGCACGGACUGCCGGCGCAAGCCGCGAGGAAGGCGGGGAUGACGUCAAAUCAGCACGGCCCUUACGUCCGGGGCGACACACGUGUUACAAUGGGUGGUACAGCGGGAAGCCAGGCGGCGACGCCGAGCGGAACCCGAAAUCCACUCUCAGUUCGGAUCGGAGUCUGCAACCCGACUCCGUGAAGCUGGAUUCGCUAGUAAUCGCGCAUCAGCCAUGGCGCGGUGAAUACGUUCCCGGGCCUUGUACACACCGCCCGUCAAGCCAUGGGAGCCGAGGGCGCUUGAAGUGCGUCGCCGCGAGGCGCGCCCUAGAGCGAAAUCGGUGACUGGGGCUAAGUCGUAACAAGGUAACCGU